rnacentral:rRNA from 1 species
UUAGAGUUUGAUCCUGGCUCAGAGUGAACGCUGGCGGCAGGCCUAACACAUGCAAGUCGAGCGGCAGCGCGGGGCAACCUGGCGGCGAGCGGCGGACGGGUGAGGAAUGCAUCGGAAUCUACCCUGUCGUGGGGGAUAACGUAGGGAAACUUACGCUAAUACCGCAUACGACCGAGAGGUGAAAGUGGGGGACCUUCGGGCCUCACGCGAUUGGAUGAGCCGAUGCCGGAUUAGCUAGUUGGUGGGGUAAAGGCCCACCAAGGCGACGAUCCGUAGCUGGUCUGAGAGGAUGAUCAGCCACAUUGGGACUGAGACACGGCCCAAACUCCUACGGGAGGCAGCAGUGGGGAAUAUUGGACAAUGGGCGCAAGCCUGAUCCAGCCAUGCCGCGUGUGUGAAGAAGGCCUUCGGGUUGUAAAGCACUUUUGUUCGGGAAGAAAUCGUGCGGAUUAAUACUUCGUACGGAUGACGGUACCGAAAGAAUAAGCACCGGCUAACUUCGUGCCAGCAGCCGCGGUAAUACGAAGGGUGCAAGCGUUACUCGGAAUCACUGGGCGUAAAGCGUGCGUAGGCGGUUGGUUAAGUCUGCUGUGAAAGCCCUGGGCUCAACCUGGGAACUGCAGUGGAUACUGGCUAGCUAGAGUGUGAUAGAGGAUGGUGGAAUUCCCGGUGUAGCGGUGAAAUGCGUAGAGAUCGGGAGGAACACCAGUGGCGAAGGCGGCCAUCUGGAUCAACACUGACGCUGAGGCACGAAAGCGUGGGGAGCAAACAGGAUUAGAUACCCUGGUAGUCCACGCCCUAAACGAUGCGAACUGGACGUUGGUUGCAACUUGGCAAUCAGUGUCGAAGCUAACGCGUUAAGUUCGCCGCCUGGGGAGUACGGUCGCAAGACUGAAACUCAAAGGAAUUGACGGGGGCCCGCACAAGCGGUGGAGUAUGUGGUUUAAUUCGAUGCAACGCGCAGAACCUUACCUGGCCUUGACAUCCACGGAACUUUCCAGAGAUGGAUUGGUGCCUUCGGGAACCGUGAGACAGGUGCUGCAUGGCUGUCGUCAGCUCGUGUCGUGAGAUGUUGGGUUAAGUCCCGCAACGAGCGCAACCCUUGUCCUUAGUUGCCAGCACGUAAUGGUGGGAACUCUAAGGAGACUGCCGGUGACAAACCGGAGGAAGGUGGGGAUGACGUCAAGUCAUCAUGGCCCUUACGGCCAGGGCUACACACGUACUACAAUGGUCGGUACAGAGGGUUGCAAUACCGCGAGGUGGAGCCAAUCCCAGAAAACCGAUCCCAGUCCGGAUCGGAGUCUGCAACUCGACUCCGUGAAGUCGGAAUCGCUAGUAAUCGCGGAUCAGCUAUGCCGCGGUGAAUACGUUCCCGGGCCUUGUACACACCGCCCGUCACACCAUGGGAGUUGGUUGCUCCAGAAGUAGGUAGUCUAACCGCAAGGGGGACGCUUACCACGGAGUGGUCAAUGACUGGGGUGAAGUCGUAACAAGGUAACC